GUAAGGAAUAUUGGUCAAUGGGGGCAACCCUGAACCAGCCAUGCCGCGUGAAGGAUGAAGGCGUUAUGCGUUGUAAACUUCUUUUGUAUGGGAAGAAUGACAGGGAUUUAUCCUUGGAGAGACGGUACCAUACGAAUAAGCACCGGCUAACUCCGUGCCAGCAGCCGAGGUAAUACGGAGGGUGCAAGCGUUAUCCGGAAUCACUGGGUUUAAAGGGUACGUAGGCUGUUAAUUAAGUCAGUAGUGAAAGACUGUCGCUCAAAGACGGAUGUGCUAUUGAUACUGGUUAACUUGAAUCAGGUUAGAGUUGGCGGAAUGGGUCAUGUAGCGGUGAAAUGCUUAGAUAUGACUUGGAACACCGAUAGCGAAGGCAGCUGACUGAGCCUUGAUUGACGCUGAGGUACGAAAGUGUGGGUAGCGAACAGGAUUAGAUACCCUGGUAGUCC
rnacentral:rRNA from 1 species